GAUGAACGCUGGCGGCGUGCCUAAUACAUGCAAGUCGAGCGAACAGAUGAGGAGCUUGCUCCUCUGACGUUAGCGGCGGACGGGUGAGUAACACGUGGAUAACCUACCUAUAAGACUGGGAUAACUGCGGGAAACCGGCUCUAAUACCGGAUAAUAUAUUGAACCGCAUGGUUCAAUAGUGAAAGACUGUUUUGCUGUCACUUAUAGAUGGAUCCGCGCCGCAUUAGCUAGUUGGUAAGGUAACAGCUUACCAAGGCAACGAUGCGUAGCCGACCUGAGAGGGUGAAGCGCGACACUGGGAGUGAGAGGCGGCACAGAGUCCUACGCGCGGCACAGACAGGGAAUCUUGCGAGCUGGGCGAAAGCCUGCAGGAGGAACGCCGCGCUAGUGAAGAAGGUCUUCGGAUCGGAAAACUCUGUUAGUGGGGUAGACCACAUGUGGAAGUAAAUAUGCAAGUCUUGACGGUACCUAAACAGAAAGCCCCGGCUAACUACGUG
rnacentral:rRNA from 1 species